AAACCGAGCAUGUGAGGUGGUAGGGUAUGCCUGUUAAGGCUUCAUAAAGACCAAACCAAGUUAGGCGGUGUCGGUAGGGUAUGCCGAUUAAGGCUUCAACCAGACCGAACCGAGUGUGUGAGGUAUUGGCUGCCUAUUAAGGCUUCAUCCAGACCAAACCAAGUUAGGCGGUGUCAGCAGGGUAUGCCGAUUAAGACUUCAUCCAGACCGAACUGAUGUUUGAGAGGUGCAAAUAGGAUAACAUUGAAAAGACUCGCCUCAUUAAAACCUUCCCGACCGAAAACUCUCCUUAGGAAAAAAAGGUCAGGCGAGGAAAGAGUGCGUAAAUUUUAUUUCGUUAGCUAUAGUAAAAUUUGAGAUGCGUGGCAUUCCACGUUCUCGGUACAAUUUUUCCUGAAAGCCACUCUAAGUUGUAUGCCCCCCAACUGCGAUUUCUCAGACUCGAAAGGGUCCUUCCCAGUUGAAUGAGAACAUCUCUUCACUUCUUCUCGCGUCGCUUCGCAUCCUCUAGACGAGGUCUCAUUUCUGGAAGCUCCUCGGUCGGACCUUGGUGUUGUAGUGUCUUGUCAUCCGAAGCUUGUAUGCUGCCUCCCUAAUCUUGCUCGUGUCACGAAGUUCGUUUACCAAAUCGAGGUUGACCGAGAGGUUUUCCUCAUUAAGGGUAAGGUCGAACAUCUGUCUUCGGAUGGUAGGAUCGCCUACCUCAACCGGAUCAUUGCCUCGGUUCCAUACGUCUGACUAUAUGGUGUUUCUUGAGUGGUUGUUUUGGGGGUGCAUAUGUAUGCCCAUAAGACUUCUAUCAGUUCUUCUGUCCAUCGGCCUUUCGCCUUGCUGAGACACUUCUUCAACUCGUUGAGGAUGACUUUAUUAGUGGCCUCGGCUUGCCCAUUGGUCUGGGGUGCUCGACUGAGGCCGUUAUAGACUUGAUGUCGAGGUCGACAUAAAAGGAUUGGAGCCCCUGGUCAAUGAUUUGUCGAUCGUUAUCCGUUAUUACUGUGUUCGGUAUGUCGAACCGACACACAAUACUUCGCCAUACAAAAUUUUGCACGUUUUUUGGCAGAGAUGGAUGCGAGUGGCUCGACCUCGAUCCAUUUUGUGAAGUAGUCGAUUCCAACAAGGAGGAACUUUGUUUGCCCAUUUCCUGGUGAAUGGGUCGAUGAUGUC
rnacentral:lncRNA from 1 species